rnacentral:rRNA from 1 species
AACGCACCUUGCGCUCCUUGGUAUUCCGAGGAGCAUGCCUGUUUGAGUGUCAUUAAUAUAUCAACCUUCUCAAGUUUUGCUUGUUGAGUGUUGGAUGUGGGGGUCUUUUGCCGGUCUCUCUUUUCUGAGGUCAGCUCCCCUGAAAUGCAUUAGCGGAACAAUUUGUUGACCGUUCAUUGGUGUGAUAACUAUCUACGCUAUUGACGUGAAGCAGGUUCAGCUUCUAACAGUCCAUUGACUUGGACAAAUCUUCAUUAAUGUGACCUCAAAUCAGGUAGGACUACCCGCUGAACUUAAGUAUCAAUAAGCGGAUG